UACGUAGGGGGCAAGCGUUGUCCGGAUUUACUGGGUGUAAAGGGUGCUCAGGUGGCUUUGUAAGUCAGCGGUAAAAUCUUAGAGCUCAACUCUGAAACUGCCGUUGAUACUACUUGGCUUGAGUAUGGAAGAGGUUGAUGGAAUUUCAGGUGUAGCAGUGAAAUGCGUAGAUAUCUGAAAGAACACCAGUGGCGAAGGCGGUCAACUGGUCCAUUACUGACACUAAAGCACGAAAGCGUGGGUAGCGAGCAGG
rnacentral:rRNA from 1 species